UCGGGAAUUUUGGGCAAUGGGGGAAACCCUGACCCAGCAACGCCGCGUGAAGGAUGAAGUAUUUCGGUAUGUAAACUUCGAAAGAAUAGGAAGAAUAAAUGACGGUACUAUUUAUAAGGUCCGGCUAACUACGUGCCAGCAGCCGCGGUAAUACGUAGGGACCAAGCGUUGUUCGGAUUUACUGGGCGUAAAGGGCGCGUAGGCGGCAAUUCAAGUCAUCUGUGAAAUCUCCGGGCUUAACUCGGAACGGUCAGAUGAUACUGCUUUGCUAGAGUGCAGAAGGGGCAAUCGGAAUUCUUGGUGUAGCGGUGAAAUGCAUAGAUAUCAAGAGGAACACCUGAGGUGAAGACGGGUUGCUGGGCUGACACUGACGCUGAGGCGCGAAAGCCAGGGGAGCAAACGGGAUUAGAUACCCCAGUAGUCCCUGAGCGGGCUGGCAAGGCGCAU
rnacentral:rRNA from 1 species